UGACUCGCUAACUAAGCAUACCAUCACACCGCCACACAAGAAUGUGGCCCUCUAGGGCGGCAACGACACUGCUGCCAGGGACCCGAGGGAAAGAAAGAUCUUUCCUACCAGGGUGUUCUCAGCCUCGCCAAACGCGCCAUCGCCCCCGCCGCUGAGACCCCUCCUCCGAGCCUGCGGGGGAGGGAGUGAGCAGCCCCACGUCUCGGGCUCUCCCACUGAGGCGCAGUGGGGUGGCGCCGGGGCGGGAAGGAGGCGAGCGUGAAGGAGGCCUGGUAGUGCCCGCCCAGCCUUACCCAGCCUCGGCGGGCCCCCGGUGCGGGCGGCCGUCCCAACGCCGCCCCCGGGGCCCACUUGCAGGGACGACAGCCUCUGAGGGGCCCACCCGGGCUCAUCUUCCGGAAGACCCCGGCGGUAGGGGGCCGAGAAGGGACCCUGCGCACAGGGCCCCGCAGAUCCGGGACCAGACGGCGGAAGGGGCGCUCCCGCCUGGAGGUUUCUCAGUUCAGUGGCUGCAGGUCCCACUGGCCUACAGAGAAGAGCAAUCACCGAGCACUUCAGGAAUGCUGGAGCUCCCCUCACAAAUUGCUAUAGACUGAAUACUUGUGUCCCCCCAACAUUCAAAUGUUGAAGCCAUAACCCCCAGUGUGAUAGCAUUUGGAGACUUUGGGAGCAUGUGAAGAUACAGCAACAAGGUGGCCAUUGUCUGCAAACCAGGAAGAAGUUUCUCACCAGACACCACAUUGAACCUGCCAGCACCUUGAACCUGGACUUCCCACUCUCUGGAACUCUUUUAUGCUGUAUUUACUUAGCACUGUGACAGCUUGAAAUGAAAAGGAUGAGGAAUACUACACAAAUGAAGGAACAAACUAGUAACACAGAAAUCCAAAUAAAUGAAGAGGAAAUAGGCAAACUACCUGAAAAAGAAUUCAGAAUAAUGAUAGUAAAGAUGAUCAAAAAUUUUGAAAACAAAGUGGAGACAAUGCAAGAAUCAAUUAAUAAAGAUCUAGAAGAAUUAAAGAACAAACAUACAGAGACAAACAACAAAAUUACUGAAAUUAAAAAACUCUAGAAGGAAUCAAUUGCAGAAUAUCCGAAGCAGAAGAAUGAAUCAGUGAGCUGGAAGGUAAAAUGGUGGAAAUAACUUUUGAAGAGCAGAAUAAAUUAAAAAGAAUGAAAAGAACUGAGGAUAGUCUCAGAGACCUCUGGGACAAUAUCAAAUGCACCAACAUUCAAAUUAUAUGGGUCCCAAAAGAAGAAGAGAAAAAGAAAGGGUAUGAGAAAAUUUUUGAACAGAUUAUAGUUGAAAAUUUCCCCAACAUGGAGAAGGAAAUAGUCAAUCAAGUCCAAGAGGCACAAAGAGUCCCAUAUAGGAUAAACCCAAGGAGAAACACACCAAGACAUAUACUAAUCAAACUAGCAAAGACUAAUCACAAAGAAAGAAUAUUAAAAGCAGCAAGGGAGAAGCAGCAAGUAACAUACAAGGGGAACCCCAUACACUUAACAGCUGAUCUUCCAGCAGAAACUCUGCAGACCAGAAGGAAAUGGCAAGUCUACAACCAAGGUUACUGUACCUGGCAAGGAUCUCAUUCAAAAUUGAUGAAGAAAUAAAAAGCUUUUCAGGCAAGCAAAAGUUAAGAGAAUUCAGUACCACCAAACCAACUCUACAGCAAAUGUUAAAGGGACUUAUAUUGUCAAGAAAUACAAGAGAAGAAAAAAGAUCUAUAAAAUCAACCCCAAACAAUUCAGAAAAUGGCAAUAGGAAUAUAUAUAUCACUAAUUAUUUUAAAUGUAAAUGGAUUAAAUGCUCCAACCAAAAAAACACAGAAUGGCUGAAUGGAUACAAAAAUAAGACCCAUAUAUAUGCUGUCUACAAGAAACAUACUUCAGACCUCAAGACACAUAUAGACUGAAAGUGAGAGGAUGGAAAAAUAUAUUCCAUGCAAAUUGGAAGCAAAAGAAAGCUGGAGUAGCAAUCCUCAUAUCAGACAAAAUAGACCUUAAAAUAAAGAAGAUUGCAAGAGAUAAGGAAGGACACUACAUAAUAAUCAAGGGAUCAAUCCAAUAGGAAGAGAUAACAAUUGUAAAUAUCUAUGCACCCAAUAUAGGAGCACCUCAAUACAUAAGAGAAACACUAACAGACAUAAAAGGAGAAAUUGACAUUAACACAAUAAUAGUAGGAGACUUUAACACCCCACUCACACUAAUGGCCAGAUCAUCAAAACAGAAAAUUAAUAAGGAAACACAAGUCUUAAAUGGUACAUUAGAGGAGAUGGAUCUCAUUGAUAUCUUCCGGACAUUCCAUCCAAAUGCAGAAGAAUACACCUUCUUCUCAAGUGCACAUGGAACAUUCUCCAGGAUAGACCAAAAUCUUGGGUCACAAAUCAAACCUCAGUAAAUUGAAGAAAAUUGAAAUCGUAUCAAGCUGCUUCUCCAACCACAACCCUGUGAGACUAGAUAUCAAUUACAAGAAAAAAACUGUAAGAAACACAAACACAUGGAGGUUAAACAAUACUUUUCUAAAUAACCAACAGGUUACUGAAGAAACCAAAAGGAAAGUAAAAAUAUUUCUAGAAACAAAUGACAAUGAAAACAUGACAACUCAAAACCUGUGGGAUGCAGCAAAAGCAGUCCUAAGAGGGAAGUUUAUAGCAAUACAAAGAAACAAGAAAAACACCGAAUAGACAACCUAACUUUACACCUAAAACAAUUGGAAAAAGAAGAACAAAAGACCCCAAAAUUAGUAGAAGGAAAGAAAUCAUAAAGAUCCGAGCAGAAAUAAAAAGAAAUGAAAGAAACAAUAGUAAAGAUGAGUAAAACUAAAAACUGGUUCUUUGAGAAGAUAAACAAAUUUGACAAACCUUUAGCCAGACUCAUCAAGAAAAAAAGAGAAGAAUCAAAUCAACAAAAUGAGAAAUGAAAAAGUAGAGGUUACAACAGACAAUGCAGAAAUACAAAGGAUUAUAAGAGACUAUUAUGAACAACUAUGUGUCAAUAAAAUGGAUAACCUGGGAGAAAUGGACAGAUUCUUAGAAAAGUUCAAUCUUCCAAGACUAAACCAGGAAGAAACAGAAAUUAUGAACGAUUGAAAUUUAAGCUGUGAUCAAAAAUCUCCCCAAAAACAAAAGCCCAGGACCAGAUGGCUUCACAGGAGAAUUCUGUCAAACAUUUAGAGAAGAAUUAAUGCCUCUCCUUCUAAAACUCUUUCAAACAAAUGGCAGAGGAAGGAACACUUCCAAACUCAUUCUAUGAGGCCACCAUCACCCUGAUACCAAAACCAAAGACAACACACAAAAAAGAAAACUACAGGUCAAUAUCACUGAUGAACAUAGAUGCAAAAAUCCUCAAGAAAAUUUUAGCAAACAGAAUUCAGCAACACAUGAAAAAGCUCAUACACCAUGAUCAAGUUGGGUUUAUUCCAGGAAUGCAAGGAUUCUUCAAUAUAUGCAAAUCAAUCAAUGUGAUAGACCAUAUUAAAAAAUUGAAAGAUAAAAACCAUAUGACAGCUCAAUAGAUGCAGAAAAAGCCUUGACAAAAUUCAGCACCCAUUUAUGAUUAAAACUCUUCAAAAAAUGGGCAUAGAAGGAAUCUUCCUCAACAUAGUAAACAUCAUAUAAAAUAAGCCUACAGCAAACAUUAUUCUCAAUGGUGAAAAACUGAAAUGCUUCCCCCCUAAGAUCAGGAACAAGACAAGGGUGUCCACUUUCACCACUAUUAUUCAACAGUUUUGGAAGUCCUAGCUAGAGCAAUCAGAAAAGAAAAAGAAAUAAAAGGAGUCCAGAUGGAAAAAGAAGUAAAGCUCUUACUGCUUGUGGUUGACAUGAUACUCUAAAUAGAAAACCCUAAAGAUAGUAUCAGAAAAUUACUAGAUAGAGCUAAUCAGUGAAUUUAGCAAAGUCACAGGAUACAAAAUCAAUACACAGAAAUCACUUGCAUUUCUAUAUACUAACAAUGAAAAAUCAGAAAGAGAAAUUAAGGAACCAAUCCCAUUCACCAUUGCAACAAAAAGAAUUAAAUAUCUAGGAAUAAACCUACCUAUGGGGACAAAAGAACCAUACACAGAAAAUUAUAAGACAAUAAUGGAAGAAAUCAAAGACGACAUAAACAGAUGGAGAGAUAUUCCAUGUUCCUGGGUAGGAAGACUCAAUAUUAUGAAAAUAAGUAUACUACCAAAUGCAAUCUACAGAUUCAAUACGCUCUCUGUCAAAUUACCAAUGGCAUUUUUCAAAGAACUAGAACAAAAGCUUUCACAAUUCGUAUGGAAACACAAAAGACCCCGAAUAGCCAAAGCAAUCUUGAGAAAGAAGAAUGGAGCUGGAAGAAUCAACCUUCCUGACUUCAGGUUAUACUACAAAGCUACAGUUGUCAAGUCGUCAAGACAGUAUGGUACUGGCACAGAAACAGAAAUAUAGACCAAUAGAACAAGAUAGAAAGCCCAGAAAUAAACCCAUGCACCUAUGGGUACCUUAUUUUUGACAAAGGAGGCAAGAAUAUACAAUGGGGCAAAGACAGCCUCUUCAAUAAAUGGUGCUGGGAAAACUGGACAGCUACAUGUAAAAGAAUGAAAUUAGAACACUUCCUAACACCAUACACAGAAAUAAACUCAAAAUAGAUUAAAGAUCUAAAUGUAAGACCAGAAACGAUAAAACUCUUAAGAAGAAAACACAGACAGGACACUUGAUGACAUAAAGCAAGA